AACAUAGCACCUCAUCUCUGGCCUGAAGACUCAGCAUGACCUUUCAGCCCUCUUCUCAGGCCACCCAGCGGCUUUCCAUUUGUAGUGAAAAGAGCACAGAUUGACAAUGGCUGGGUCUGCUGGACAGGACCACACAGACAGACAUCUGUUCGUGCCUGCAUACGCAGGCACGGUGGACGGGGUCCAGACCCAAUGCCCAAGUAAGACUGAACAGAAAAGGUGGCACCAAACUCAGCUGCAGAUUGUUGGUGAUCUGUGAGGUGCAGCCCAUACCACAAGGUGCUGGAGAGCUAAGUCAACAGCUGCCUCGGUGGUAAAGUACUCGCCUCACAUGCACAAGGCCCUGGGGUCAGUUCCCAGCACUUUAGACAACAAUAAUGAAGCAGGGCCAAGAGCCAGGAGUCAAGUGCAGCUGAGAGCGAAGCCCUCCCCCGCCCCCAUGUUACUAUACCUGUACACGGCAUGGGCAGAGUCCUCUCAAAUCUCACAACAAACGCCCAGGACAUUCUACCGAUGAGAAAACUGAGGCUAGAUAAUUUGUUUAACAUCAUGUAACCAAAAGGCAAAGCCUGAGUUCAGGGCCAGGUGCAAGAUUCCAGCCCAAAUAUCAGGCAGUACUUCCAUGACGUGCCUGCUGACCUUAGAUCCUCAGAUGCAAAGUGAACAACGUCACCUCUCUUUCCUACAGAGUUACUGGAGGAAAGUGGGCUACACACCUCUCUGUAGAUGGACAGACAGACAGAUGGACGUACAGAACUUUCUAAGCCUUGAUUUUUUUUUUCCUUUUCAGUCUUGGGAUUAGGGAUUCAGAAUGUGCGAGCUGGCGGAACAUUCCAGAUAAUCUUACCACAAAAAUCUGAGCCCGACAACUUGAGAAACUUUCUUUAGCUCAUGAGAAAGAGUCGAAAGGAUACGUGGAGAUGAAGCAGCCUGUGCCAGAUUUGGCAAAGUCUAAGAAGAUGUGAGGGGCGAGGAUCCUGACAGCUUGUACCUUGGCCUCUCUGAGCCCUGCUCUCUCUCCCAGGAAAUGAGCCCAUAGCCUCUUCUGCACCCGGUCACCCUUUGUCUGGUUGGCUCUGCUCCAAGUCACCUCCCCCAGGGCCUAAACCAACACAUUAACUGUGCCUUUCCCUGAGCCAGGGACCACAGAGGAAGCCCCCAAGUAGGUUCUCUGAGGAUGGGAGAUGAUCACUAGCUGGCUGUUGGCUUUGUAUGUCAAAGAACUGGGCACCUGAUGGACAGAACCAUCAGGUAUAGCUGACCUGGGAAGACUGAGGCAUCAGACUGGCCAUUUGGAAUCUGCCCUCUCUGCCCGUCAUCCCAGGUAAUGGCAAAGCUGCAUCCAUCUGCAGAGACUGGUGGGGCAUCUGGCGGGCCAGGCUGCCUCCUGCACUCUGGAACAUUCCAGUUGUGGGCUCUCAGAGAUGAGCACACUCCUAGGGAGACAGAUGUUGAGAAACAGCAGUGCAAUGAAGUUGAUCACUGACAGCUUUGUCCACAGCCAGGAGGCCUCUGUGAGCAGAGAACAGGGCACCGGGGAAGGACUCAGGCAGGGGCUGGGCUCAUCUCCUCGUGCUCAGCCCCACUUUUCCUGAAGAACUUUCUUCUCACCCUUUUUAUUUGUUUACUUUGUUUUUGAGAUACAGUCUCUAGUAGUCCAACCUGGUCUCCAACUCAUUGUAUAGGCAAAAACGGCCUUGAAUUUCUGGUUCUCCUGCCUCAUCUCCCAACUGGCAUGUACCACCAUGGAGUUUGUAAGGAGCUAAUUAUCCAGACUAAGGCUUUGUGCAUGUUAGGGUAAACACUCUAUCAACUUUGCACGCCACCUUUUGUGAGACUCCGCUCUGUCAAAUGUGUGAAGAUAUACGUAUGCUGACCCAUGUGUGUGCCUAUACUUACACGGGCACGCUGUGUGUGACACAUGCAUGAGUGCACGCAUUUAACACUUGUGUGAGCUCGUAUGUUUGUGCAAGUGCGCACUCCUAGGCCUCCUUCUGACUCCCAUCCCCACUUGGGCUUCCAGGGUCAAUUCUUGGCUUCUUCCCUCCAGAGUCUAUGCUCUCCCCUGAGGCUCUCACUUUUGCCCACAGCGUCCUUUCUCCUUCAGGAAACGAAACAAGCCACCCAAUCAAAUAUGCGUCUCCAACACAGACUUCUUCCCAUGCUCUCACACCCACAGAGGAUGGUCUGGACAGGUCUGAAACCUGGGACCCUAAAACUGUCUCCUUUGGUUUUCCUAAACUCCCAGUGCCUACAUUGUCAAGGUCGUCGUCGUGGUGGUGGUGGUGGUGGUGGUGGUCGUCGUCGUCGUCGUCGUCGUCGUCGUGACCCUUCCUGGUUCCUUCACUUUCUCAUCUCCGGGAAAGGCCCGGCUCCUUCCCGUGGUCCUCUCACCAGAACCUCACUAACUCCUGACCCAUCCAUUCAGUCGGGGUCAACAAAAUCAUUUUUUAAAUCACAAGUGUGGAGCCUGAUGACACACGCCUGUAAUCUCAGCUACUAGGGAGGCUGACACAGGAAAGCGGCACUUCAAGGCUUACCUGGGCAACUUAGUAAGACAUCAUCUCAAGACAAGAUAGAUAGAUAGAUAGAUAGAUAGAUAGAUAGAUAGAUAGAUAGAUAGAUAGAUAGAUGAUAGAUAAAAUAAAAAAUAAAAGGAAGGCUGGGAAUGUGGCUCAGUGGGCAGGUUUCCCUAACAGGCAUAAGGCCAUUGCUUCAAUCUCAAUUCUAAAAAACACCAAAAAACUGGGUUAUCUUAUUUCUCAUUCAGACCAGUUUCUGGGCUCCUGUGGCUUGCCCCAGAUCUCCCUCUCUGCUGCUGGUAACCGGUGGGAGGGAGCAUGACUUUCUGGGGAGACCUCCAAGAAUGCCACAGAGUGAUGGAAACCCAGCACAACAACGUGGGAAAGUGCCACAAAGUGUCUUAUGUAAUAUAUAUAUGCUAUGUAAACAUGUUUUAUAUAUUGUAUAAAUAUGCAUGCGCACUGUAUAAAAUAUGUAUUUUCUUAAUUUCGGUUCUCUGGUUUGAGAGAGAAGCAGUGUAGCGUGUGUGUGAAGUGGCGAACGUGGAAGGAAAUGAGUUCGGCACGUAACAGCGUGCACAGAAAACCUGCCACUCAACUGCCUUCCACCCCUUCAUUCAGCAUCUACUGACACCCGCUGUGUCCCGUCCAGGGGCUCAAAGACAGACAAAGGAAGGAGCUCCAUUAACAGGAGCGUUUGGGGAAAAAGACAAAAACACUAAUCACCAUCCGAAAUGUACAUGCUAUUUCCCA